AAUUAGAUUCUCGGCGUACCGCUCAGUAACACGUGGGUAACCUGCCCUAUGCUGGAUAAUAACCUCGGGAAACUGAGAAUAAUGAUCCAUAGUUCACUACGCCUGGAACGGUGAGUGGAUGAAAGCUCCGGCGGCAUAGGAUGGGCCUGCGGCGUAUCAGGUUGUAGGGGGUGUAACGUACCCUCUAGCCCUCUACGCGUACGGGUGUUGGGAGACAUAGCCCGGAGAUGGAUUCUGAGACACGAAUCCAGACCCUACGGGGUGCAGCAGGCGCGAAAACUUGGCAAUGCGAGAAAUCGUGACCAGGGAACUCCAAGUGCAUCGGGUAAGACCGGUGCUUUUCUUGACUCUAAAUAGGUCUUGGAAUAAGGGGUGGGUAAGGACGGUGCCAGCCGCCGCGGUAAUACCGGCGCCUCAAGUGGUAGUCGCUUUUAUUGGGCCUAAAACGUCCGUAGCCGGUCUGAUACAUUCGUGGGUAAAUCAACCAGCUCAACUGGUUGAAUUCUGCGAGGACGGUCAGACUUGAGACCGGGAGAGGUGUGGGGUACGCUCAGGGUAGGGGUAAAAUCCUGUCAUCCUGAGCGGACCACCUGUUGCGAAGGCGCCACACUAGAACGGAUCCGACGGUCAGGGACGAAGCCUAGGGGCACGAACCGGAUUAGAUACCCGGGUAGUCCUAGGUGUAAACGCUGUGGACUUGAUGUUGGGGGUGCUCCGAGCACUCUCAGUGUCGAAGCGAAGGUGAUAAGUCCACUGCCUGGGAAGUACGGUCGCAAGGCUGAAACUUAAAGGAAUUGGCGGGGGAGCACCGCAACCUGAGGAUUGUGCGGUUUAAUUGGAGUCAACGCCGGA
rnacentral:rRNA from 1 species